rnacentral:rRNA from 1 species
CCUACGGGGGGCAGCAGUGGGGGAUAUUGCACAAUGGAGGAAACUCUGAUGCAGCGACGCCGCGUGAGUGAAGAAGUAUUUCGGUAUGUAAAGCUCUAUCAGCAGGGAAGAAAGACUCGAAAGAGAGAUGACGGUACCUGACUAAGAAGCUCCGGCUAAAUACGUGCCAGCAGCCGCGGUAAUACGUAUGGAGCAAGCGUUAUCCGGAUUUACUGGGUGUAAAGGGAGCGCAGACGGUUAUGCAAGUCUGAAGUGAAAAACCACGGCUCAACUGUGGUCUUGCUUUGGAAACUGUGUAACUAGAGUGUCGGAAGGGUAAGCGGAAUUCCUAGUGUAGCGGUGAAAUGCGUAGAUAUUAGGAAGAACACCGGAGGCGAAGGCGGCUUACUGGACGAUAACUGA